rnacentral:lncRNA from 1 species
CGGGGUAUGACUAUAUAGGUCUUGUAGAGGAGAAACAGGCACUUCUUUUGCGCAAGGUAUCGAAGGGUGCUAUGUUCAAAAAUCUGAAACUAGAGCCCAAAAUUUGAAAAAAAAAUGGUAAAAAAAUAGGGGGUUGCCCUAUUCCAGGGCUUCUAGAGAAAAAUAAUGAGGGGUGUCACGGGGUAUGACUAUAUAGGUCUUGUAGAGGAGAAACAGGCGCUUCUUUUGCGCAAGGUAUCGAAGGGCGCUAUGUUCAAAAAUCUGAAACUAGAGCUCAAAAUUUGAAAAAAAAAAUGGUAAAAAACAGGGGGGUCAGCUUAUUCAAGGGCUCCUAGAGAAAAAUAAUGAGGGGUGUCACGGGGUAUGACUAUGUAGUUCUUGUAGAGGAGAAACAGGCGCUUCUUUUGCGCAAGGUAUCAAAAGGCGCUAUGUUCAAAAAUCUGAAACUAGAGCUCAAAAUUUGAAAAAAAAUGGUAAAAAACAGGGGGUCGGCCUAUUCAAGGGCUAAUAGAGAAAAAUAAUGAGCGGUGUCACGGGGUAUGACUAUGUAGGUCUUGUAGAAGAGAAACAGGGACUUCUUUUGUGCAAGGUAUCGAAGGGCGCUAUGUUCAAAAAUCUGAAACUAAAGCCCAAAAUUUGAAAAAAAUGUUAAAAAAAUAGGAGGUUGCCCUAUUCCAGGG